UCGGGAAUUUUGGGCAAUGGGCGCAAGCCUGAUCCAGCCAUGCCGCGUGGAUGAUGAAGGCCUUAGGGUUGUAAAAUCCUUUCGCCGAGGACGAUAAUGACGGUACUCGGAGAAGAAGCUCCGGCUAACUUCGUGCCAGCAGCCGCGGUAAUACGAAGGGGGCUAGCGUUGUUCGGAUUUACUGGGCGUAAAGCGCGUGUAGGCGGGUCGUUAAGUUGGGGGUGAAAUCCCGAGGCUCAACCUCGGAACUGCCUUCAAAACUGGCGACCUGGACUCAAGUAGAGGCAAGUGGAAUUGCGAGUGUAGAGGUGAAAUUCGUAGAUAUUCGCAGGAACACCAGUGGCGAAGGCGACUUGCUGGACUUGUAGUGACGCUGAGACGCGAAAGCGUGGGGAGCAAACAGGAUUAGAUACCCUAGUAGUCCCUGAGCGGGCUGGCAAGGCGCAU
rnacentral:rRNA from 1 species